GACAGAGGGUGCAAACGUUGUUCGGAUUUACUGGGCGUAAAGCGCGUGUAGGCGGCUUUGCAAGUCGGAUGUGAAAUCCCACGGCUCAACCGUGGAAGUGCAUCCGAAACUGCAUCGCUGAAGUCUCGGAGAGGAAGGUGGAAUGCUUGGUGUAGAGGUGAAAUUCGUAGAUAUCAAGCAGAACACCUGCGGCGAAGGCGGCCUUCUGGACGAUGACUGACGUGAGACGCGAAAGCGUGGGAG
rnacentral:rRNA from 1 species